UAAGUCAAAAUGAAGAAAAUUCAUUUCGUUGCCUUGUUGUUCUAGACUUGAAAUGGGUGAAAAUUCAAUAAAUGGAAUUUGCUGUCUGUUAAUGGCUUCCCUUUUCGGUCUAUCCACUUGUUUCCAAUUCAACGAUCCAGAUUGGUAUUUGUGGAUCCCAUUAUAUGCAUCUGCUUGUUUUGUGAAUCUGCUGAAAUUCUGUAAACCAAAUUCACCAAGAAUCAGAAAAGUGGCCAAGUUUGGAUUGUGCCUUGGCGUAUUCUUGUUUAUCAAAGUUGGGGCAGAAGAUUUGAUUCAUGGAAUAUGUGGGAUUUGGUGUAUGGAUAUGAGAGAGAGAGAGAGAGAGAGAGAUUUGGGAGUGGGCUUGUUGUUAGCUCCAUGUGUCUUGUGAAGGACAACUCAAGAUAUGGUAUGCCCCUUUUGGUUGGCGUUGCGGUUGCCUAUGGCAUCAGCUUCAUCUUCUUUGCAUUUCAACAUCAUCAAAUGCGAUAUUGAUCUGUCAAUAUAUGUUGGGAGAUUGUAAAAGGAUCGUUCAACAUAUUUGAAGGGGACAAGAUGGAGCAUUAACUCUCGUGUCGUUCUAAAUAUCCAUAUUUUUAUGGGACAGAUGGAGCAUUAAAAUUCGAGUCGUUUUAAACAUCUUUAUUUUUAGGGCGCAUAGGGAGUAUAAAUUAAGGAGUAGAAUGUUACCUAUCAGUCUUUGUAUUUAAGCUGCAAUAUUGGU